UACAUGGGGUGCAAACGUUGCUCGGAAUUAUUGGGCGUAAAGCGCGCGUAGGCGGUUACUCAAGUCGGAUGUGAAAGCCCUCGGCUUAACUGAGGAAGUGCACCCGAAACUGAGUAGCUAGAGUACUAAAGAGGGUCGCGGAAUUCCCGGUGUAGAGGUGAAAUUCGUAGAUAUCGGGAGGAACACCGGUGGCGAAGGCGGCGACCUGGGUAGAUACUGACGCUGAGGCACGAAAGCGUGGGGAGCAAACAGG
rnacentral:rRNA from 1 species